UUAUGUAAAAAUAUUUUAUUGAUUGUACAGCAAAUGCAUUUUUAUACAUUAUGUAAUUUUGUACUGGGAGUCUCAUUGGGGUCUAUAAAGCAUGUUGUAGGAUUGGCCGUCUUUUUUUAUGUGCAUGACACAUGGAAAUCAAAUUAUUUUGCAUGAAAAUAGGAAACGAAGUUGAGCAGGACAAGUGAAAUUAUUAGCAGGAUACUGGAUUCUGACAAAACAGUUUUAGCAAAAUUUGAGAUCAGACCAAACCUCCCAAUGAGACCCCAUGUACACAGGUACAAUUACUAUCCUCACAACACCAUGAUAUUGAUAGAUAUAUGUAAUACAUGACAGGAAUAAGACUAGAAUGUAAGUAAUCUCAGACUUAUCUAUAUAAGGAUACCUAUAUAUGGUUCCAAUGAGAUUUAUGUUUCUGUGUUAUUUUUUUUAAAUUGAUGAACAAUAAUCAGUGUAUAUUUGUGUAAUUUUUAUAUUUGCAAGAGUCUUAUGAAAAUAAUAAGUUUGAAGUAUUAAAAUAUAUGAUAAGACUUACAACCAACUUAGCUGCCUUGCUGUUGAAUGGUUGGUGAUCACACUAGAUAUACUACUUACUUAAUAGACAUUAGGCUAGUGGAACCCCAACUAACAAUUACACAAAAGCUGUGCUAGAAAAAUUUUGUUACAAUAUAUAAGUUAUGUAUAAAAGCAGUGAGAUGUAUAAGAAAUAUUAAAAGACAUUAAUCGUGGCAGAUU
rnacentral:lncRNA from 1 species